rnacentral:rRNA from 1 species
GACGAACGCUGGCGGCGUGCCUAAUACAUGCAAGUAGGACGCAGUGGCGAACGGGUGAGUAACGCGUAGGUAACUGCCUAUAUGAGGGGGAGAACUAUUGGAAACGAUAGCUAAAACCGCAUACAAGUAGAUGGACAUGCGGUGUAUUAGCUAGUAGGUUGGGCAAUGGCCUACCUAGGGGACGAGACCUAGCCGAACUGUGUGGGUGAUCGGCCACACUUGGACUGAGACACGGCCCCGACUCCUACGGGAGGAAGCCGUAGGGAAUCUUCGGAAAUGGGGUGAACCCUGACCGAGCAAGGCCGCGUGCUUGAAGAAGGUUUUCGGAUCGUAAAGCUCUGUUGUUAAGGAAGCGUUACUUAACCAGAAAGGGACGGCUAACUACGUGCCAGCCGCCGCGGUAAUAC